GGACUGUCAGGUGAGCCAUGAUCACCAUGGUAGUUUUCCUAGGGUAACGCCUACCCCUUGCACUCUGGGCAUGCUGACCCCUGCCGGUUUCCUUAGUGUAGGAAACCUGACUACACAAUGUUAUGGUAAUGGGGGACUGCAUUCUAACUUUCCCUCU
ensembl:snRNA U1 U1 spliceosomal RNA